rnacentral:lncRNA from 1 species
UUCUUUCGCAGUCAGUCCUUCUUCGUGUUGGAUGUGUGUCCUAAAAGCCAAUCCUGGUUGGCAUAUACUUUUUUUUAGGGCAUGUUUUGUACUUGUUGGACAGUCUUAAUUACUAAUCAUGUUUAUGUGUACAUGACUUGUCCUAGAAAUUAAUAAAGAUGAUUUUGUAUAUUCUUAAAGUGUCGAAAAUUUGAGACAUACAUCAUUAGUGGUUAAUUUCUAAAUACUCCCGAUCGAAGGAUCAUCACGGAGGACAGUGAUCAAUCCAUUCGAGAUCGGUGUAUGGAUCA